rnacentral:rRNA from 1 species
CCAGCCCGCUCAGAAACUCAAAUGAAUUGACGGGGCCGGCACAAGCGGUGGAGUAUGUGGUUUAAUUCGAUGCAACGCGAAGAACCUUACCUGGUCUUGACAUCCCGGAGACCCUUAGGAAACUAGGGGUGCUUCCAUCUGGAAGAAUCUGGAGACAGGUGCUGCAUGGCUGUCGUCAGCUCGUGUCGUGAGAUGUUGGGUUAAGUCCCGCAACGAGCGCAACCCUUGCCUUUAGUUGCCAGCAGUUCGGCUGGGCACUCUAAAGGGACUGCCGGUGUUAAACCGGAGGAAGGUGGGGAUGACGUCAAGUCCUCAUGGCCUUUAUGACCAGGGCUACACACGUACUACAAUGGCCGAUACAAAGGGCAGCGACACUGCGAGGUGAAGCCAAUCCCGUAAAAUCGGUCUCAGUCCGGAUUGGAGUCUGCAACUCGACUCCAUGAAGUUGGAAUCGCUAGUAAUCGUGGAUCAGCAUGCCACGGUGAAUACGUUCCCGGGCCUU